CUGGAUAUUUUUGCUAAUACAGCACUGGGUAUAAUCACAUACAACUCCCAGGCACUCAUCGACAUCGGAUUAUCAACUCACUUUAUACGUAGUCCAUCUGAUGUUUGGGCUCGCUCGCUCCCGGCUGAGAUCCUGAGGAGUGCAGCUCAACAACCUCGGAGAAGAUCCAGAGGGAAACGCGGAGGGGUGAAGCAUGCCCUGAGGGCCCGCGUACACAAGCCACCCUUGCCAAGUAUCAUGGUUGCCAAUGUCCAGUCCUUGAACGAUGAGAAAGUGGAUGAUCUCCGUUUGCGUUGUGCAUUUGAACGAGACAUAAGGAACUGUAACAUCUUCCUCUUCACUGAAACCUGGCUUAAUCCGUCCAAAGCAGACCAUUCCAUAAAACCGAUGGAGAAUCUCUCCGUUUACCGGUCUGACAGAACUUUUGAGGAGUCCAAGAAGGAGAUCGGAGGUGGCGUAGCCGUCAUGGUAAAUGAGGGCUGGUGUCACAGCGGAAACAUCACCGUGCUGCGGCGCUUUUGCUCCCCUGAGGUGGAAAUCCUGGCAAUAAAAUGUCGGCCUCACUAUCUUCCACGCGAAUUUACAUCUGUGGUAAUCGUAGCAGUGUACAUUCCUCCCCAGGCAUGUACAAAAACAGCUCUAACAUUGCUUCACGAUGCACUGAACAGCUACCAGGCCAGCGAUCCAAUGGCCGCGCUAGCGGUUGCUGGCGAUUUCAACAAGGCGAAUUUGAAGAAAGUGAUGCCAAACCUUUAUCAACAAAUUGACUGUGCUACGAGAGGGUCAAGAACACUGGAUCAUUGUUAUACUCCGUUUAAGGGUGGAUACAAGGCCCAGUCUCUUGCUCCUGUAGGGAAAAGCGACCAUGCUGCUGUCUUCCUCUGGCCAUCGUAUGUCAACAAACUACGAAGGGAACCCCCGAUGACGAGACAGGUGCGUCGGUGGACGGACCAAUCGGAGGACAGCAUGCGAGUAGCACUACAUGAAGCACUUUGGGGUACGUUUAAGAACUGCACUGUAGAUAUUAACACUGACAUUAAUGUGCUCACUGAGAAUGUCGUUAAUAUUAUCUCCACAACCACAGACAUGCAUGU
rnacentral:lncRNA from 1 species